UGCCUAUUUACUCUGGUCCAGCUGACUGCGCAAUACAUUGUCAUCAGCUCAGCCAGGCAAUUUUUAAACUUGAUCUCCAAUAUAAAAAACAUCUAGACAUUAUCUCACAUUUCUUUUAGACUAAAAUGUCUACCGACAUUUGCAGCAUUGUUUCAAUAUUCAAAUUUGAUCUCCAGCUGUCCCAUAUGAUAUAAUGAACGUGUCGGGAGUCGAGAUGAGACAGACAGGCUUCUUCUGAUGGAGAGAUGUUUGACAUGAGCUUUGAGGUCCCUCCUGCAUGCUGUAUUCAGUCAGCAUUGGUGGAGGGCUUAUUUCUCAAUGCAUGCUGCUACUGCUCAGAGCUCCAGAUGCACAGACCUAUUAACAUUGUCAUCGUACCGGUUGAAAAUUAGAUGUUAAACAUAUAAACGGUAAGCAGAGGAGAUUGAGGGAAGCAUGCGGUCAUGAGUGGGUGUGCUGUUUGUGUGUGUGAGUGCGUAAGAGAAAGCUGCCAUACAAUUGACACAUAAUGAUUGUGAAUUCUUUGCUGGAGUCAUUUUUAUUUGCCUUGUUGUGCUUUGCCUUGUUGCUUUUCUGACACUGUGAAAAUUGAACCAUUGACUGAGUGGUGAGAUUAUCAGGGUAAAUUGUCAGGCAUAUUAUGAGGCGGAAGCACAAUUCUAUGUUUGUAGAAUGCAUGAAAUAGAGGAAGUGGACUUGCAUGUGUAUUUAUUCAUGCCGUGUGUUGUUGAGAGAUCUUACAGUUAGUUUGAUAAUGGAUAUGGGUAAUAGUGGUGUUAACACUUCUGUAUGUCAAUUAUUUUUUACCUUUGCCCAUUAAGGUUA